UACGUAGGGUGCGAGCGUUGUCCGGAAUUAUUGGGCGUAAAGAGCUCGUAGGCGGUCUGUCGCGUCGAUCGUGAAAACUUGGGGCUUAACCCUGAGCUUGCGGUCGAUACGGGCAUGACUGGAGUUCGGCAGGGGAGACUGGAAUUCCUGGUGUAGCGGUGAAAUUCGUAGAUAUUAGGAAGAACACCGGUGGCGAAGGCGGCCCACUGGCUCGACACUGACGCUGAGGUGCGAAAGCGUGGGGAGCAAACAGG
rnacentral:rRNA from 1 species